rnacentral:rRNA from 1 species
UACGUAGGGUGCGAGCGUUAAUCGGAAUUACUGGGCGUAAAGCGUGCGCAGGCGGUUCGUUGUGUCCGUCGUGAAAGCCCCGGGCUUAACCUGGGAACUGCGAUGGAAACUAGCGAGCUGGAGUGUGGCAGAGGGGGGUGGAAUUCCGCGUGUAGCAGUGAAAUGCGUAGAGAUGCGGAGGAACACCGAUGGCGAAGGCAGCCCCCCUGGGCUAACACUGACGCUCAUGCACGAAAGCGUGGGGAGCAAACAGG